GGGUCUAUUAGCUCAGUUGGUUGAGCGUGGUGCUGACAACACCAAGGUCGUGGGUUCGAUUCCUGUUCGGUCCC
rfam:Apaloderma vittatum contig53546, whole genome shotgun sequence.